UAUCCCCCAACCGUCCACAUACCUGCCUCCUGCCUGGACAGCUUUAUCUCUGUCAACUCAGACAAAAUGGUUGGUGGCUGUGAAGAGGACCUUCGGUCUGAACCCAGGCUUCUACUGGCAGACUGUGGAGACUCAGGAACUCAGCUGUCAGAGGCCUGAGACCAUGUGCACUCAGCUGCUACACACAAAGGUAAGAACAUCUUAUGUCUCAGCUGUUCCAAAGCUCCUUGGUAUCAUCUAACCUCAGUGUUAAUACCCCAUGAUCAUGACUGUUGGUAUAGGAUGAGGAAAUCAACCAUACAGUUUUUUUCUUCUUCUCCUCACAGAUAGCUGUUGCUCUGGGAUACACUUCUUUGUUCCUGCAUCCCCUGGUGGUUCACCACACCCUCCAGCUUCUCCACAACUCAGGGUUGGAUGUUUGUGGCUUCCGCUUCGUUUACCCUCCUCCUGGCCUUCUGACCAACAGUGCCGGCAGGGUAUCCUACGGGCAGGGAGAUGAUGGGGCCGAUCAGCCCGUCCUUGCCCUGGCUGUCCGAGGGCCUCACGCCCGCACCGUGUGACAGGAUGUAACAGGCCCUUCAGACCCCCUGCUGGCUAGGAAGACAGACCCGGCAUCCAUCAACACCCUUCACUACAGCAGCAAGAACUUGCCCCUCCUCUACUCCCCUCGCCUGGCCAGCAGUGUGCACAGGGAACUGGUCACGUGGUUCGCAGGGAGAGUUCCAGGAAAUAAUUCCCAGAACCCUGACCAGGCUCCAACUGACAGUGGACGUGUUCUUGAUAGUGUCUCCAGCGGUGGCGCCAUGCUGCUACAGCCAGGUUCUGUCUGUGUGUGAGGGCAGACGGUUCAGUCUAAGGGGGGUCCAGAGGCUGCAGCUCCCCACCAAACGAACCCAGGCACUGGGACUCACCGGACAGCAGGUGUCAGUGUUCUGCAGUCCGCCCACUUUUACUGUGGAUGAGAAGAAGUUUGAGCUGUCUUCUCACUGCCUGGUCUUACUUCUGAGGAGAGAGAGUGGCCUGCGUUACUGUGCCAACAGGUAUAGCACUUAACCUAUAAUACCUAAUAUCUCUGCUUCUAUCACCUCAAAAGUACACUGAGUGUACAAAACAUUAGGAACACCUUCCUAGUAUUGAGUUGCACGCCCUUUUGCCCUCAGAACAGCCUCAAUUUGUUGGGGCAUGGAAAGGUGUUGAAAGCGUUCCACAGGGAUGCUGGCCGAUGUUUACGCCAAUGCUUC
rnacentral:lncRNA from 1 species